UCUCCAGUAUACAGCGCUGAAAAGGGCUGUUCCUGCAUAAUGCAAUUCAUACCAUCAGGAGAUGCACAGAAUAAUGGGGUGUUGUGCACUACUCGUGGUUCCUGCUUGGGCAGUGCACGCUUGAACACGCAAUCAAACCAGCACUGACUUACUGAAUCACUUCAAGCAAAUCAUUCACUCUUCACCUCGG